rnacentral:rRNA from 1 species
GAUGAACGCUGGCGGCGUGCUUAACACAUGCAAGUCGAAUGGUGAAGCAGGAGCUUGCUCUUGUGGAUCAGUGGCGAACGGGUGAGUAACACGUGAGCAACCUGCCCCUGGCUCUGGGAUAAGCGCUGGAAACGGCGUCUAAUACUGGAUAUGUGAUGUGACCGCAUGGUCUGCAUCUGGAAAGAAUUUCGGUUGGGGAUGGGCUCGCGGCCUAUCAGCUUGUUGGUGAGGUAAUGGCUCACCAAGGCGUCGACGGGUAGCCGGCCUGAGAGGGUGACCGGCCACACUGGGACUGAGACACGGCCCAGACUCCUACGGGAGGCAGCAGUGGGGAAUAUUGCACAAUGGGCGGAAGCCUGGUGCAGCAACGCCGCGUGAGGGAUGACGGCCUUCGGGUUGUAAACCUCUUUUAGCAGGGAAGAAGCGAAAGUGACGGUACCUGCAGAAAAAGCACCGGCUAACUACGUGCCAGCCGCCGCAGUAA